CAUGGCCGUCUCCAUGGUAACGGAUACAAACAGUAAUGGAACAUCUGCCGAUCAAGUUGGAACCAUGUCAGGCGCCAUCAUAGGAGGUGCAGUAGCGGCUGGUGUCGUCAUCCUCAUUAUAGCAGUCGUUGCCUUUAUCGUCUACACUAAAAGACGACGACCCAGUGAGAGACAUAUAUAUGAUGAGCCACUGGAUUCCCAGUUUGAGUCACCGAGCCAUGACACCCAAGG